ensembl:lncRNA
UGCUCACACCAAGCAGGCUUUUCUUGCAAUCAGGAUCAGCCCUAGGAACUGUAAGGUGCAGGUUGCUGCAGUAACAAGGCGUCUAAUUUAGGUUGGGACUCAGGUCCCUCAGGAGUUAGUUACACUGAGCUGACUCCAGAAGCAACAAGUGUUCCUGGCAGAGGAAGGAGCUUAUGCAAAGGUGAUUCCAGAAGCCAGGCACGUGGUGCAUCCCUGUAAUCCCAGCACUCAUGAGGCUGAGACACGAGGAUCAUCUGAGCCCAGCUUGGACUACAUAGUUCGUGGUCAACCUGAACUAAAUUGAGACCCUGUCUUUAAAAAAAAAAGUGAUUCCAGGUCGCACCUGAGACUCUUGGUAGCUGUUGGCACUGGGAGUUGACCCCCCCCCCCGACUCAUCAAGAAUUCAUGCUCACCCACUGGGGCACCGGUCUGCCAAGAACGCCACCUGUGGCAUCAUCCCUACUGCCACCUACCCCAUCCUGCCAUGACUUGUAACUAAGCAGCCCCUGGCAGAUCCUCUUGCCAACCUCUAACACUUCCUGUUUCUCACACCUGCUCAAUGACAGAGGCGGACCAGGCUGUCUGCUGGCCAGACAGUGGCGAAGCACAGGCCCAGAUAGGGACACAGCUGGUCAGUCAUGCAGCGAUGCUAAGGGGAAACAGGCCCCACACCAAGCCCCUGCUUCUCUGCUAACUAGGCCUGAUUUGGGGAGGUCUCUCUCUGCCUAACUUCUUGGUUCUAACCUGCUGGGGAGAUCUGGUUCUCCAUUGGAUGGGGUGUGGAGGGUGGAGGCUAACACCACCCCUGCACUAGCGUGUGUGUGAAUAGAACAAAAGCAGUAAAAUGACCUCAGUUGGGUUUUGUGGUUUUUUGCAUGGCUGGACUGGCAUUUCCCUUGAUGUUGGCUACAGAGGAAGAAUCGGUCCAGUUAAUCCUAGGAAAAUGACUUGAGACCAGCUCUCCAGGAAGACUAAGAAACUGAGGUCUAGAGAGGAUCGAUGAAGACAAAGGACCUCAACAUUGUCUUCCAGCAAGGCAGUCAGAGAUGAGGUCUGUUUUAUCUUAUUUGGCCCUGGAGAUGGACUCUACCACUGAGCUGCACUGCCAACCCCUGGGAUCUGUUUUGGAGUCAUUUUAAGGUUUGGUCCUAGCAUGAGGACCCCCUGCUAGUUUCUAGUCACUGAUUUGUGACCAAACAUGGCAUCUUCCAGCACCACCACCCACUUUAGUCACAGAAGUUGGCACUACAAGGUGUCUCUGGGAUGCUUCUAAAAAUAAAAUCCACCCAGAGGGCCAGGAUCCGAGAGGGCUGAGGGGAUGCAGAUGCAUUCAGUUCAUCUCCAGCAGAUGUUUAGAGCAGGAAGCUAGAGGCGACAGUAUUCUGACCCUCUGGGUUUAAAGCAGGGAGCUGGCACUCUGGGACAGCAAGUAACUUGAUUGAAGCCACCCAGCCCUGCAGCUAGGCCAGGACUCAGUUGUGUCUCUCCAAAGGCCAAUUCCAGGGAGGAGUCUAAAAUUGUGAGGCAUCUUUUGACUUGCUGUAUUGGUUACUUCUAGCCUGUGAAGCAUUGGUGUGGUUGUACACACCUGUAAUCCCAGAUACUCAGGAGGCUGAGGCAGGAGGAUGGUCAGUUCAAGGCCAGCCUGGGCAAUUUAGCAAGACCUUGUCUCAAAAUAAAAUAAAAAAGGUCGGGAUGUGACCACUGGUAAAGUGCUAGCCUGGCAUGUGUAAGUCCUUGGCUCCAGUCCCCAGGACUGCAAAAAUAAAAUAAAAUUCUGGUGUCCAUUUGCCAUGUUGUUUUGUGCUUUGGGGUGACUGUGGUCCGUGAAGGCUG